CAGCCGGCCGCAGCGCCGCCAGGUCUGACCAAGGGCAAAGUCCGGUUGUCGAAAGCCGAGAUCAGGAACAUAGUUGCCCUUAAGCCGGAGAAACUUCCCAGCGCCGAUUACCUGGACGAUCUGGCAGAGUAUUUUCCUCCGGAGUGGAUCGAGGAAAGGAAGCGCGCCCACGCUGACAAUGCAGAGCUUUUCAAGAAGAUGGACGACGAUUUCGAAGAGUACCGGCAGCAGGUCCUCACGUCUGUGUGGGACAAGGGCUACUUCGAGGUUGAUGAAGACUUCAUCGCUAACAGAAACAGAGCCAAUGAGUUGGGUCUCGAACUACAGAGGCGGAUUCUCUCGCCUAUUCCCGCCAAGUAUUGUGCUACCCCGGAGGACAGUAUAAGGGAUUAG
rnacentral:rRNA from 1 species